AUACUUACCCGGCAGGGGGGAAUGCCAUGAUCAGAAAGGUGGUUUUCCCAGGGCGAGGCUCACCCAUUGCACUUGGGGUGUGCUGACCCCUGCGAUUUCCCCAAAUGCGGGAAACUCGACUGCACACUUUGUGGUAGUGGGGGACUGUGUUUGUGCUCUCCCCUA
ensembl:snRNA Gm24046 predicted gene, 24046